rnacentral:rRNA from 1 species
CGAAGGGGCUAGCGUUGCUCGGAAUUACUGGGCGUAAAGGGCGCGUAGGCGGCACGAUUAGUCAGGCGUGAAAUUCCUGGGCUCAACCUGGGGACUGCGCUUGAUACGGUCGAGCUAGAGGAUGGAAGAGGGUCGCGGAAUUCCCAGUGUAGAGGUGAAAUUCGUAGAUAUUGGGAAGAACACCGGUGGCGAAGGCGGCGACCUGGUCCAUUACUGACGCUGAGGCGCGACAGCGUGGGGAGCAAACAGGAUU